rnacentral:rRNA from 1 species
UCAAGUUACUAAGAGCGCAGGGCGGAUGCCUUGGCACCAAGAGGCGAAGAAGGACGUAGAAAGCUGCGAAAAGCUCCCUAGAUCUGCAAACAAGAAACGAAAGGGAGAUAUCCGAAUGGGGCAACCCACUUAAGCAAACCUUAAGUAUCUAUAUAUGAAUAAAAUAGUAUAUAGAAGCAAUACCGGGAGAACUGAAACAUCUAAGUACCCCGAGGAAAAGAAAGAAACAUCGAUUUUCAAAGUAGCGGCGAGCGAAAUGGAAAGAGCCCGCUUAAAGAAAUACUAAAACAAUAUCCGAAUGAUUUUGGAAAAAUCAUCCAAAGAAAGUGAAAGACUUGUAGGAAAAGAUAUUAGAAUUUCAAUAAGCUUAACGAGUACCACAAGGCACGAGAAACCUGGUGGGAACACGGGAGGACCACCUCCCAAGGCUAAAUACUACUUGGUGACCGAUAGAGAACAGUACCGUGAGGGAAAGGUAAAAAGAACCCCGAAAGGGGAGUGAAAUAGAACCUGAAACCCUGCGUUUACAAGCAAAGAAAGCACGUGAAAAGUGCAAUCUUGUACUUUUUGUAGAACGGGCCAGCGAGUUACUUUUGUAAGCAAGGUUAAGAAGUUAAGCUUCGAAGCCGAAGAGAAAUCAAGUCUUAAUAGGGCGAAAUAGUUUACAGGAGUAGACCCGAAACCAGGUGACCUAUCCAUGAGCAGAGUGAAGUUAAAGUAAAAUUUAAUGGAGGCUCGAACCGGGUGUGGUUUAAAACACAUCGGAUGACUUGUGGAUAGGGGUGAAAAGCCAAUCGAACCUGGAGAUAGCUGGUUCUCCUCGAAAUAGCUUUAGGGCUAGCCUUUAGGAUGUUUAAUGGAGGUAGAGCUACUGACUGGUUGCGGGGUGUUUAUACAUUACCAAAACCUAUCAAACUCCGAAUGCCAAGAAAACAAACCUAAGGAGUCAGACAUAGUGGGAUAAGCUUCUAUGUCAAAAGGGAAAGAGCCCAGACCAUCAGCUAAGGUCCCCAAAUACCGAUUAAGUGGUAAAGGAUGUGAAGUUACCCAAACAACUAGGAUGUUGGCUUAGAAGCAGCCAUACAUUUAAAGAGUGCGUAAUAGCUCACUAGUCGAGUGACCUUGCGCCGAAGAUUUCCGGGGCUAAAUCGGAUACCGAAGCUGUGGACUCUAAGGAGUGGUAGAGGAGCAUUGUGUAAUAGGCAGAAGCAGUAUCGAAAGGCGCUGUGGACGAAACACAAGAGAGAAUGCUGGCAUAAGUAGCGAGAAGGAGUGUGAGAAUCACUCCCGUCGAAAACCUAAGGGUUCCUGAGCAAGGCUCGUCCCCUCAGGGUAAGUCGGGACCUAAGGCGAGGCCGAAAGGAGUAGCCGAUGGACAACUAGUAAAAAUUCUAGUACUAUCAAAUAUCGUAUAAAUGAAGCGGGGACACAGAAGGAUAAGCUAAGCGUACCAGAUGGACGAGUACGCUCAAAUAAAAAGGCAUGCCAGGACUAAUAACCAGGCUAAGCUAAUUUAUGAUGAGGAUCGAAAACAAGUAGAGAAGUAGCCGAUUUCACACUGUCAAGAAAAGCCGCUAAAUAGAUAAAUGAUACCCGUACCGUAAACCGACACAGGUAGGAAAGGAGAGAAUCCUAAGACGCGCGGAAGAACCUUUGUUAAGGAACUCGGCAAAAUGACCCCGUAAGUUAGCGAGAAGGGGAGCCAGAGCGAUCUGGCCGCAGUGAAUAGGCCCAAGCGACUGUUUACCAAAAACACAAGUUUCUGCUAAGUCGAAAGACGACGUAUAGGAGCUGACACCUGCCCGGUGCUGGAAGGUUAAGGGGAAAUGUUAGCAAUAGCGAAGCAUAGAACUUAAGCCCCAGUAAACGGCGGCCGUAACUAUAACGGUCCUAAGGUAGCGAAAUUCCUUGUCGGGUAAGUUCCGACCCGCACGAAAGGUGUAACGACAUUGGAUUUCGGUAGUACAUGUACAGAAUAGGUGGGAGGCAAAGAUCCUGGUACGCCAGUAUCAGAGGAGCCGAAGCGUGGGAUACCACUCCUGUAGUGCUGGAAUUCUAACCUUGAGCCGUAAACCGGUUUAGGGACACUGUCAGUUGGGCAGUUUGACUGGGGCGGUCGCCUCCCAAACAGUAACGGAGGCGUUCAAAGGUUCCCUCAGCACGGACGGAAAUCGUGCAAAGAGUACAAAGGCAGAAGGGAGCUUAACUGCGAGAUAAACAGAUCGAGCAGAUGAGAAAUCAGGACUUAGUGAUCCGGUGGUACCACGUGGAAGGGCCAUCGCUCAACGGAUAAAAGCUACCCUGGGGAUAACAGGCUUAUCUCCCCCAAGAGUUCAUAUCGACGGGGAGGUUUGGCACCUCGAUGUCGGCUCGUCUCAUCCUGGGGCUGAAGUAGGUCCCAAGGGUUGGGCUGUUCGCCCAUUAAAGAGGCACGCG